rnacentral:rRNA from 1 species
CCUACGGGUGGCAGCAGUGAGGAAUAUUGGUCAAUGGGCGAGAGCCUGAACCAGCCAAGUCGCGUGAGGGAGUACUGCCCUAUGGGUUGUAAACCUCUUUUGUCGGGGAGCAAAAGCCGGACGUGUCCGGCUGUGAGAGUACCCGAAGAAACAGCAUCGGCUAACUCCGUGCCAGCAGCCGCGGUAAUACGGAGGAUGCGAGCGUUAUCCGGAUUUAUUGGGUUUAAAGGGUGCGCAGGCGGAUUUUUAAGUCAGCGGUAAAAUCGUGGGGCUCAACCCCAUCCAGCCGUUGAAACUGGGGAUCUAGAGUGUGCGAGAGGUAUGCGGAAUGCGUGGUGUAGCGGUGAAAUGCAUAGAUAUCACGCAGAACCCCGAUUGCGAAGGCAGCAUACCGGUGCACAACUGACGCUCAGGCACGAAAGCGUGGGUAUCGAACAGGAUUAGAUACCCUAGUAGUC